rnacentral:lncRNA from 1 species
UAUUUGUGAAGGAGUGAUAUAGCAUUUGAUUAAGAGAGUGGUUUGUCUCUGGUUGGGAUAAAUCUGAUUGUGAUGUAAGAUGGAUAGCUUGCUCGUAUGUUUUGUAACUUCAGGGAUGAUCAGAUAUAUGGCACCAAGGAGGAAUUUAUUGCACAAAUGGCAUGGCCUGUGGAAAGGCCAUUUUACCCGUAGGAGGUGAGACAACAUGAUGUUGGUAGCAGUGGAGCUGUUGGAAAUGGAGACCAGGAGACGGGACAACGAAGUGAAGAAGAGCCAGACACCUGACAAGAGAAUUGACUGAAAAGCUCUCCAAAACUCUGUGAACUUUAUUUUAAAUUGCUUUUGGUCAAAUUUAUGCUUUAUUUUCAAUAUCUUAAUUUAUGUUUCUCUUGUGGUCUAAACAACAUGCUGAUGGUUGAUUGAAAAAUGGUAAAAAAAAAAAAUUUAUUUUUGAAUAUCAUGUGCAUAUGGAUUGAAAAGUUUAGGUUUGUGAAUAAUCAAAUUCAAAUGCAUGAUUAGAAUAAUUUUUUUUUUUUCAAAUUGCAUUGUUUGAGGUUGAAUCUUUGUGAUUAUCUUUGAAUAAUAGGAUGAAUUUGAACUAAGUAGCUUUAUUCAAUUUGAUUUCAUCCAUUCCUUCUUGAGAUGAUUAAUUGAUGAUGAAUCACUUAACCUAGCCGGGUGAGAUUGUGUGAACCUUCCAUUGUUUAUAUAUUUGAGAGCCGACAAUUGUGUUUAACUCUGUUGAUUUUAACUGAAUCUUGCUAUUACUUGAUGUGUUUGAAGUCAUGGAUAUGAUCAAGGCCUUGUUUCUUUUUGAGUGGUAACUACUUAAGCCAAAAUAACCUACCUUGUGAGUUAGUGUGAUCCUUUGCUACCCCCCUUGAGCCAAAAAUUUUGAAAUUUUGUUUGAUUUUGAACCCUUGAACCACAAUAAAGAAAAACAAUGACUUAACCCUUGUCUUAGGAUGAUUGAGCAUUGAAUUUAAGAAGGGUUGAAAACAAGUUGGGGAGAAAGAGGUUAUUUGUUUGUUUGAAAAAAAGAAAGAAGUAGUUGAAAAUGGUGAUUGUGAAAAAGAAAAAGAAUUUUGAANNNNNNNNNNNNNNNNNNNNNNNNNNNNNNNNNNNNNNNNNNNNNNNNNNNNNNNNNNNAAGAAUCCCAAAAGUAAAGAAUGAGGAAAGUGAAAGAGGAUGAAUAGCUUAUGUAAUGUAAUAAAGAUAGUCAAAGUUUAUGCUCUCUCAUCCUUGAGGCUUUUUGAAUCCAAAGAAAAACAAUGAUUUCUUGUAGCCUAGCCCCAUUACAAGCUUAAGAAAGACCUUAGUGAUCCAUGAUUGAUAGCAUGUUUUGUGAUUAAGAUGAGGUGUAUGUUUGAAUUGAUUUGUUGUGAACACAUUGCUUGGAUUGAGAGAAACACUUCACCCUUGAGUUGAAACACUUGUGAGAAUUGUGACUCUAGUUGAUUAUCUUGUUGAUUUGGAAAGUUUGAAAUCUUACUUGAAUUUUGAAACUAUUUCACAUUCAUACCUUGAUUCUUUGAUGAUUAUGAAGGUUUGAUUUUGAACUUGCAAUACAUUGAAUCAUGCAAACUUGAAAUGAUUUAAAACCAAAGUUUUUGAUUGAUUGCAAAGCUUGAAUGAAUCAUGCACCAAUGAUGUUUGAAACAUGUUUUGAGAGUUUAUUUUGGACUUUUGUUUGAGGACAAACAAAGUUCUAAGUUGGGGAGAGUUGAUAAGUGCUCAAAAACAGUGAUUUUACCUAUUUAUUUUAAGCACUUAUUGACUUGUUUUAUAAGUCAUUUUAGGUAAAAAACCCCAAUUAAUUUUAAAUAUUAAUCUCUACUAGCAAAUUAGUAUUUUAGCUAUUUUCCCUC